rnacentral:rRNA from 1 species
GUGUCAGCAGCCGCGGUAACACGUAGGAUCCAAGCGUUAUCCGGAUUUACUGGGCGUAAAGCGCGUGUAGGUGGUUUGCUAAGUUGGGUGUUAAAUCUCUCGGCUCAACUGAGAGGUGUCGCUCAAAACUAGCAGACUGGAGGACGGUAGAGGAAGGUAGAAUUCCGGGUGUAGUGGUGAAAUGCGUAGAUAUCCGGAGGAAUACCAGUGGCGAAGGCGGCCUUCUGGACCGUUCCUGACACUCAGACGCGAAAGCUAGGGGAGCAAACGGGAUUAGAUACCCUCGUAGUCC